rnacentral:lncRNA from 1 species
UUUUCCAUAGCUUCCCCCUCACUCUAGGUCUAGGGCUUGAAACCCACGAAGAAAACUUUUUCUUCACUCGAUUUUUCAAAAGAUGGGAUUGUCGAUGGCACCCAGUCGGCGACGAUCUUCAGAAGAAGAUCUGUGUAUGGAUAUAUUUGUUGUGGGUUUCACAUAAGAGGUUUGAAAUCGUUCUAUAUACUGCUUUAUUGUCUAACAUAUUCACCUACAUUUUAAUAUAUUUAUAUUUUUGACAAUGCAUUUGUUUAUAUUUCUUUAAUUUUCUUUUGCUUGAUCUAGAUAAUGAAGGAAGAGUUGGUGAUUGCCGAGGAUAUUUGAAAUGUCCACUUAAAUGAUAAAAUGUUGUGAAACUCACGAAUUUAGCUAAACCACAUUUCUUUAGUGGAACUCAACUUGAUUGACUUGAGUAGAACUAAAAGCUUCUGUUUUUCAUUGAAGAACUCGAAUAUUUCAAGACUACACAAGUCCGUUUAGAAUUUAUGUUAGAGAUGAGUUUACAAAUCUAAUGGAGAAACAAUUCUGGUGGCAUGAACCUGAAGCUUUAAACCAGUUUUGAUUGUUUUAUUUUUUUAUAACAGGUAUACAUCAUUGGCCGUGGUCUGACCAAGGAGUACAGAGAUCUUCAGACACAUAAACAUACCAUCCAGGUAUAAAAAUUAAACAUACUUUUUGGGUUGAUUUGAUAACUGAUCAAUUAACUACUUUGUGUUUUUACAAUUCUCAAAAAAAGAAAGAGAAACUACAUUAUGUUAGUAUUAUAGAUGAUUAAUCUCUUUGUCUUGUUGUUCUCAUAUAAGUUAUCUUAGUUCCUUUGUUUGCACUAUUUCCUUUGUCUUUAGUAUAGUCUUGCUUUGCUUUGUUGAGUCACGCUCUGGCUAGUUCAGUAUCUCGUAAUAAUUUUUAUUAUUUUGUCCCUAUUUAAUAGCAUUGUAAGAGAAGGUAAAACAUACAUUUAACUUUGUGGUCUAAGAGUUGUGUGUUUCUUCCACUCCACUAUGUCAUUAAUUGUUAUCUUAAUUUGUCAGGGACAUGAUGAAAAAUAGUUUUGUCACUCUUUGGGUUCUUUUUCCAUUUAUCAUUUUCUGUUUAUUUCAAUCAUGUUAAGGUCUUUAUAACUCUUUAUUUAUCAUGUUCUGUUUAUCUUUGUGGUCUAAGAGUAGUGUAUUUCAAUAUGCUUGAUGCUUUUUGAGGAAGUUUUCUCAAUUAAAUAUCCCUUUGACUGUUAAGGUCAUGGCAAUAGACUCUGUCUGCUGAUAAUAAAUGUGCAGAACUACUUAAAACACAGAACGGUUGAUGCCAUUGACACUCGAUCCUGGGAGCUUCAAUGUAACGACCCGACUUGUCGAUUUAAGAAUUUACGUCCCGUUCAGUGACUUAAGGUCUCGAGAAGUUUCGUAAUAUGUAUUAUGACCCGCGGGUGUGGUCGAGUUUGAUUUUCGGAAGAUUUAGAAUUAAACUGAAAGAACAAUUCCUAUUUAGAAGCUUAAAUAGAAAGAGUUGACCGGAGAGUUCACUUUUGAACAAACGACCCUGGAAUAGAAUUUUUAUGAUGUCAAUAGUAUCGUAUAGUGAUUUCGGACUUAGGCGUAUGUUCGGAUUUGGAUUUGGAAGUCCGUAGGACAAUUCGACGCAUUUUGGCGAAAGUUGGAAAAUGGAAGAUUUUUGGAAAGUCCGACUGAAGGUUAAAUUUUUGAUAACGAGGUCAGAUUUCAAUUUUGGAAAUUUGAAUAUCUCUAUUUUGUCAUUUAUGACUUGUGUGCAAAACUUGAAGUCAUUCCGGGUUGAUUUGAUACGUUUCGGUGCAAAAUAUAGAAGUUGGAAGAUUUGAAAACUCAUAAUUCGAUUCGAUGCGCGAUUCGUAAUUUCGGCGAUGGUUGACAUGGUUUGAAGCCUCGACUAAGCUUGUAUUGUAUUUUUGGACGUGUCGGUAUAUUUGGUUGAGGUUUCGAGGUCCUCGGGUGGAUUUCAGAAGGUUAACGGAUCAAUUCGGACUUGAAGAAAAGCUCCUGAAAUUUCUGGGCAGCUUGCUGUUUUUUUUACAUAAGCAUGAAUAGUGAUUGCAGAAGCGUGAACGGUGCCCGCAGAAGCGUGAAUAGUGCCCGCAGGUGCGAAACUGGGCAGCAACAUAAGGACCAAAAAUCAGUCACUUUGUCAUUUUCGAUUGAGAUUUUGGAGCUCGAUUUUUGGGCAAUUUUGGAGGAGUUCUUCACGACUUUGACUUGGAUAAGUGUCCUAUAUCCUAAAGUGUUUAUAUUUCAUGAAUUCAUGAUUGUAACGGAUUUUAAUGGAAGAAAUCAACAUUUUGGCAAAAUCGUCCAAAAACAAAAAUUUAAGAUUUGGAGGUCGAGUUGUUAUCGGAAUUGUAUAAAAUUGGUAUGGUUGAACUCGUAUCGGAAUGGGUGUUCGUAUUUCAUGAAAAUUAUGUCGGGUUCCGAGGGGGGCCCGCGUUGAUUUUGGGAAUAAAUUUUUAAGUCGACGUAUUAUUAUCCGGAAUAGUUUUCGAUGAAUUUUAAUGAAGUUAUACAAUUAAUUUGGAUAGAUUUGAGCGGUACGGAGGUCAAUUCAAAUAAGAAGGCGAUUUUGGAAUAUCGGCAUAACUUCAAACAGGUAAGUAUCUUGCCUAACCUCGAGUGGGGGAAUUACCCCUUAGGCAUCGAGUCUUAUGUGCCAUUUGUAAAAUGUGAAAAGCCGUGUACGCGACGUGACGAGUACGUAUUCGGGCUUAUAUGUGCAAAAUAUAGUGGGUUAAAGUCUUAAAUAUAUUGUGUAGUAAAUUGGAUAAUUAUUGACAUUUAUUAAAUCAUCUAUUUGCCAUGCCUCAAUUCAUGUUUGUUGAAUUUGUUUUUAAAUGAUAGUUUAAUGUGAUUUUUACUUGUAUAUUAAUGUGAAUUCCGUGAGUUUGAAGAUUUGAUAUUUCUUGGAAUUUAAUUUCAUUAUGGAUUUUUUCUCUGCAAAUAAUUAAUCAAAUAAACUUAAGAAAGGUAUUAGUAUAUUUACCAAAAAAUUGUAUAAAAAAAAAGGGUGGUGUCCUGUGUUGAGUUAUUUUUUCAUCUCUAUUGUUGAUUCGAGAUUUUAUACGUAUUGUGUGGAGCCUUGGGCUAUUUGUUGUGAAAUUAAUUGAUUAUCUUAUAUCUUUGGCAUUUAGUUGUUGUCGUUGGGCAAUUUGUGAUGUUAAUUGGUUUUUUUUGUUAUGUUGCCGUGAUAAUAUUCCAUGUAAAUUGUUGUUUUAUUUGAGUUAUUAUUUUGAGGAUAUAAGGGUGGCAUUCCACUGUUGAUAUUAUGUGGUUAUAAGGGUGACAUUUUACCGUUGUUAUGUGUGUUGGGAUAUUGUCUGGGCGGAGUGAUAAGGGUGGCUAUAGGAGCGAUAAAGGUGGCUAUUGAUAUUGUCAGGGCAGAGGGAUAAGGGAGGCUAUUAUAGGAGUGAUAAGGGUGGUUAUUGUCAGGGAUGAUAUGUGAUGAUUGGAAUUGUUGCGUUGGUGAUUUUAUGUGAUGUUGUGAUUUUUCUUGUGUUUAUUUUAAUAUCUUGUGCAAUUGGUCUAGUUGUUGGUAAAUUGCUAAUAGUCUGAUUUAUGUUAAAAUUGGGGGUCUGUGGCUAUUGUCAGGCAGAUUAUGAGAUGAAAUGUGGGCACGAGGUGCCGUGAGUAAAUAAUGAUAAUAUUACGUGAAUUGUCCGUGCAGUUGUAAUAUGAAAUGAGGGCACGAGUUGUCGUGGCUAAAUGAUGAUGAUAUUGGCACGUGAGUUGUCCGUGCGGUUGUGAUAGAGAAAUUUGGCACGAGUUAUCGUGGAAAUAUGAAAGUGGGCUGAGACCCGUAUUUUAUGAUUUUGAAAUGAGGUGUCACAUGGUGACUUCGAAUUAAAGAAUUAUAUUCAAAAUAUUUAUUUGGAAGGAUUAUUAUUCAAAAGGAUCUAUUUGAAAGACUCAAAUUCGAAAGAUAUUUAUUUGAAGAAUUAUAUUUGAAAGAGAUUUAUUUGAAAUAAUUAUAUUUGAAAGAUAUUUCUUUGAAAGGAGUAUAUUCGAAAUAUAUUUAUUGGAUAGUAUUAUAUCCUAAAGAUUACUAUUUGAGAAGUAUAUAGGCGAAAGAUUUAUAUUUGAAAGACUUGAAUUAAUUGGGUAUACUUGUAUUUAUUAUUUGUUGAGCAAUAUUAACGGUGUUCUUGUUGCCCUGUUGUUGUUAUUUGUUUUCUAUUAUUUUAUAUACUAUAUUGCACAGAUUAAUAGACUAGUGAGUGUCUUGACUGUACCUCGUCACUACUCCACUGAGAUUAGUCUUGAUACUUAUUGGGUACCGACUGUGGUGUACUCAUACUACACUUUUGCUCAUUUUUUAGCAAAGCCAGGUAUUGGAGAUAUCGGACUUGGACAGAGUUAAAGCGGGAUCGUAAGGAUUCAAGGUAGAGCUUCUUGGUCGUCGCAGUCCUUUGGAGUCUUUCCAUUUUAUUGUACUGUUAAUUUUUAAUCAAAUAGUAUUGAGUAUUCGAUCCUUGAUAUCAUUCUAUGUAUUCAGUUAGUGUUCGUGACUCUGUAUUACCAGUCUUGGGAAG